AGCUAGGCCUCUCCUCCCCCGCCAUUGUGUUCCGAGCUGUGGCCGUCUGCUCUUCCAGUUCUUCCCUUCAAGGCCCAUUAGUCAGAAGAACAGCCUUGUGGACUGAGGCUCACCACUGUCUGUCUGUCCACAGGGUGCGAGGAGCUGCUGAAGGACGUGCUGUCGGUGGAGAGUGCAGGGACCCUGCCAUGUUCUCCAGACAUCCCAGACUGUGUGGAGCAGGUAAGAGUGGCUGCUGCCUCAGUGCCUGCUGCAUGAGGCCACCCUCUGCAUUGGCGCCUGGGCUCAGCUUUAGAAGGUCUGGAAGGACUGGGCCUUCCACUUAUGGUCUUCUGGCAUCAAAGUAAAAAAAAACAAAAAA
rnacentral:lncRNA from 1 species